rnacentral:rRNA from 1 species
AAGAGACAGCAGCAGCCGCGGUAAAACGGAGGGGGCUAGCGUUGUUCGGAAUUACUGGGCGUAAAGCGCACGUAGGCGGCUUGGUAAGUUAGAGGUGAAAGCCCGGAGCUCAACUCCGGAAUUGCCUUUAAGACUGCCGAGCUAGCAGGUGAGAGAGGUGAGUGGAAUUCCGAGUGUAGAGGUGAAAUUCGUAGAUAUUCGGAAGAACACCAGUGGCGAAGGCGACUGACUGGACAAGUAUUGACGCUGAGGUGCGAAAGCGUGGGGAGCAAACAGGAUUAGAUACCCGAGUAGUCCCUGUCUCUUAUAC